UGAGGAAUAUUGGUCAAUGGGCGAGAGCCUGAACCAGCCAAGUCGCGUGAAGGAAGACAGUCCUCAGGAUUGUAAACUUCUUUUAUACGGGAAUAACGGGCGAUACGAGUAUUGCAUUGAAUGUACCGUAAGAAUAAGCAUCGGCUAACUCCGUGCCAGCAGCCGCGGUAAUACGGAGGAUGCGAGCGUUAUCCGGAUUUAUUGGGUUUAAAGGGUGCGUAGGUUGUUCGGUAAGUCAGCGGUGAAACCUGAGCGCUCAACGUUCAGCCUGCCGUUGAAACUGCCGGGCUUGAGUUCAGUGGCGGCAGGCAGAAUUCGUGGUGUAGCGGUGAAAUGCAUAGAUAUCACGAGGAACUCCGAUUGCGAAGGCAGCUUGCCAUACUGCGACUGACGCUGAAGCACGAAGGCGUGGGUAUCAAACAGG
rnacentral:rRNA from 1 species